CGGUGAGUCCCAGGCCUGGCCUCCGUGGGCGGCUGACCGUGGACCAGCGGUGCCAGCUGUUUUCCCUGUGCAGUCAGGCCUGGCCCCGGCCCUCAGCCUGGCUGCCGCUGAGACUCCGGGAAGGUUUAACAGCUCCCGAUGCCCAGGCUGCACCCAGGUCUAUCAAACCCAAGCCCCUGGGUCAGCGCCCAGGCAUCGCCGUCUUCCGUGUCCCUCAGGAGACCCAAAGUGCCGCCAAGAUGGAGCACAGCGAUUCCUGCUGCAGAGAAUUUCAGGACCACAGGCAGCAGUCUGGGCCAGGAACAACCAUUAUGUGACCAUGCAAGAAACCAAGAGGACUGAAGCAUCCUGAGUUGAAGACAGAGCAAGGUAAGUGUAAAUAAAUAUAAGUCAGAGCUGACAGAACCUGUCU
rnacentral:lncRNA from 1 species